CCUACGGGAGGCAGCAGUGGGGAAUAUUGCACAAUGGGCGCAAGCCUGAUGCAGCCAUGCCGCGUGUGUGAAGAAGGCCUUCGGGUUGUAAAGCACUUUCAGCGGGGAGGAAGGCGGUGAGGUUAAUAACCUCAUCGAUUGACGUUACCCGCAGAAGAAGCACCGGCUAACUCCGUGCCAGCAGCCGCGGUAAUACGGAGGGUGCAAGCGUUAAUCGGAAUUACUGGGCGUAAAGCGCACGCAGGCGGUCUGUCAAGUCGGAUAUGAAAUCCCCGGGCUCAACCUGGGAACUGCAUUCGAAACUGGCAGGCUAGAGUCUUGUAGAGGGGGGUAGAAUUCCAGGUGUAGCGGUGAAAUGCGUAGAGAUCUGGAGGAAUACCGGUGGCGAAGGCGGCCCCCUGGACAAAGACUGACGCUCAGGUGCGAAAGCGUGGGGAGCAAACAGGAUUAGAUACCCUAGUAGUC
rnacentral:rRNA from 1 species